AGAGUUUGAUCCUGGCUCAGGAUGAACGCUGGCGGCGUGCUUAACACAUGCAAGUCGAACGAGCCUUCGGGCUAGUGGCGGACGGGUGAGUAACGCGUGGGAAUCUGCCCUCAGGAGGGGGAUAACGGCCGGAAACGGCCGCUAAUACCCCAUAUGCCGAGAGGUGAAAUGAAUUUCGCCUGAGGAUGAGCCCGCGUCUGAUUAGCUAGUUGGUGGGGUAAUGGCCCACCAAGGCGACGAUCAGUAGCUGGUCUGAGAGGAUGAUCAGCCACACUGGGACUGAGACACGGCCCAGACUCCUACGGGAGGCAGCAGUGGGGAAUUUUCCGCAAUGGGCGAAAGCCUGACGGAGCAACGCCGCGUGAGGGAUGAAGGCCUCUGGGCUGUAAACCUCUUUUCUCAAGGAAGAAGACAUGACGGUACUUGAGGAAUAAGCCACGGCUAAUUCCGUGCCAGCAGCCGCGGUAAUACGGGAGUGGCAAGCGUUAUCCGGAAUUAUUGGGCGUAAAGCGUCCGCAGGCGGCCUUGUAAGUCUGUCGUUAAAGCGUGGAGCUUAACUCCAUUUAAGCGAUGGAAACUACAAGGCUUGAGUGUGGUAGGGGCAGAGGGAAUUCCCGGUGUAGCGGUGAAAUGCGUAGAUAUCGGGAAGAACACCAGUGGCGAAGGCGCUCUGCUGGGCCAUAACUGACGCUCAUGGACGAAAGCCAGGGGAGCGAAAGGGAUUAGAUACCCCUGUAGUCCUGGCCGUAAACGAUGAACACUAGGUGUCGGGGGAAUCGACCCCCUCGGUGUCGUAGCUAACGCGUUAAGUGUUCCGCCUGGGGAGUACGCACGCAAGUGUGAAACUCAAAGGAAUUGACGGGGGCCCGCACAAGCGGUGGAGUAUGUGGUUUAAUUCGAUGCAACGCGAAGAACCUUACCAGGGUUUGACAUCCUGCGAAUCCCUUGGAAACGAGGGAGUGCCUUCGGGAGCGCAGAGACAGGUGGUGCAUGGCUGUCGUCAGCUCGUGUCGUGAGAUGUUGGGUUAAGUCCCGCAACGAGCGCAACCCACGUCUUUAGUUGCCAGCAUUCAGUUGGGCACUCUAGAGAGACCGCCGGUGAUAAACCGGAGGAAGGUGUGGAUGACGUCAAGUCAUCAUGCCCCUUACAUCCUGGGCUACACACGUACUACAAUGCUACGGACAAAGGGUUGCAAGCUCGCGAGAGUUAGCUAAUCCCAUAAACCGUGGCUCAGUUCAGAUCGUAGGCUGCAACUCGCCUACGUGAAGGAGGAAUCGCUAGUAAUCGCAGGUCAGCAUACUGCGGUGAAUACGUUCCCGGGCCUUGUACACACCGCCCGUCACACCAUGGAAGUUGGCCAUGCCCGAAGUCGUUACUCCAACCCUUGUGGAGGAGGACGCCGAAGGUGGGGCUGAUGACUGGGGUGAAGUCGUAACAAGGUAGCCGUACCGGAAGGUGCGGCUGGAUCACCUCCU
rnacentral:rRNA from 4 species